CCAGCCACAGCCACAGGCUGGGAAAGGGCCAGGGGAGCAGGAGCGAGGUGUGCAUGCAGCAGCCUUGGCUGCGGGCAGGUGGGAGCCCAGCUGUCUCUGGAGAGAGCCGAGCGGUGUUGACCAGCUGCAGAGGGUGGAGGAGAAGGAUCACUCUAGCUCCCCACACCGGCGGGGCAGGAGGGCACAGGAGGCUGAAACAGCAAGAGUCACCCCUGCUGCCUCCCUGCCUGCGCCUACACUGGCUCUGGGGUGGGACAGCUGCCAGGGGCUGUCCAGGCACCUGGCAGACGGCCCCUGCGAGAAGUGCACAGCGCAGGGAGACGGCGCCUGCAAGAGGAGCUUUGCUGAGGAAUGACCCACAGGAGCUUUGUACAGGGCGUUUUGGGGAGAUAGAUCCCUUCCGUGCUCUUGGCUCCACUGGGCAGCUCUGAGCAUGCUGGGGGCACACCCCAGGGCCAGAUACUGCAGCAUGUGAGGGCACUGGUGGAGACACCGGCAGACCCUCGCUGCCCUGUGCAGCAGCCCCACGGGCCCGAGCUGCUGUUGCUCUGGGCCUGAGGGGCUCUGAGCCAUCCAGCCUCUGCUGCGCAUUUUGCUUGUGGCCUUGCCUCUUGCUGCCCCCUUGCCCUGUGAUUGUGCAUCUGGAAAGACCCGUUCUUUCCUGCAGGAUUCUUCAGCCAUUUGCCAUCUUCCUCAUGUCCACAUCAGCCCGGGGCCUUGGCAUGGCUGGCCAAGCAGCAGGACCAAGGAGACAUGGCCAUUGUGGCUGACCCGCCCCUGGGUAGUUCAUUAAGCUAUGCAUCCUGUUAGCUGAGUUGCUUCACGCAGCUGCCCCCUUAGCUGAGGCAUGCGCCCGUGUAACAUCUGCAUCUUCAGCAUACCAGCCUGUGCCGGGCUGCUCGGGCUGGGGCUGGAAGUUGUUCUGACCGCAAUAAACCAGACUGCAGCGUGGC